rnacentral:rRNA from 1 species
CUUUGACCUCAAAUCAGGUAGGGCUACCCGCUGAACUUAA